rnacentral:rRNA from 1 species
GAACCGUACGAACGUUAUUCGGAAUCACUGGGGCUUAAAGGGGUGCGUAGGCGGCCUGGUCAGUUGGGUGUGAAAUCCCUCGGCUCAACCGAGGGAACUGCGCUCAAUACUGCCAGGCUUGAGGGAGAUAGAGGUGAGCGGAACUGAUGGUGGAGCGGUGAAAUGCGUUGAUAUCAUCAGGAACACCUGUGGCGAAGGCGGCUCACUGGGUCUCUUCUGACGCUGAGGCACGAAAGCUAGGGUAGCGAACGGGAUUAGAUACCCCGGUAGUCCUAGCUGUAAACGAUGAGCACUAGAUCGGAGACCCUUCCACAGGAUUCCGGUCGUAGCGAAAGUGUUAAGUGCUCCGCCUGGGGAGUAUGGUCGCAAAGGCUG